rnacentral:lncRNA from 1 species
AGGCCGUCCUCCCCAUACAGGAACUGUACCACACUGCCAUCGCUGUCACGGACCGUCAGAUCGUACUGGAUGACCAGCCCCUCCAGGUGCUUGAUGAUACAUCUGUAAGGAAACUCCCUGCUCAGUGCCCAUGGAAAACACCUCCCAGGGCGGUGCUGAGGGGAAGGAAGGGGACUACUGUUCCAGGAGAAACUCUAGGAUGGACCACUUCCAGUGCUCCAGGCCUUGGGAUGCAACAUCCAGAGGCUACAAUUCCUGACCGUUUUCCAGGAAGAGAGCACCUCAGUGGUCUGGUUGCCACACUCCCAAGGCCAGGCUCCCAUUUAGCUCAGCUGCUCCCUGCCCCUUCGCUCUGCUGCAUCUCAGAGCUCUACAGGAGCAGCCAGCAUCCUUAGGAUCACAGGCAGGCAAAGAAAGGAAGAGAAGGAAGAAUUCUUAAACUGUCAGUGUAGACUGCCAAGCAAAGGGGCAGCAUCAGGGACUAAAUGCUUACAUGAUGCCCCUACCUGAAGACCUUUGUCUCCAGUCCUCUAUGGUAGCUGGCUCCUUCACCCUCCUUUGCUUUCUGUCUUGGUCACAACUCAGCAUCUACUGCAGUUUCCUAAGACCCCGUUUUCUGUCCCUUAGCAGCCAACCCAAGCUAGGAGAGUAGAGCUCAGCUUUAGCCACCACAUCCAUGGUGUUUGACUCAGAGCCUGGCAAGCUGGUGACAAACACCAGCUCUCCUUUCACCACACAUGGUGGUAGUGAUGUCAGUCUUUGGCCCGCUGCUAUGCUGGCCUUAGAGGGCCUAACAGCUGCCCCUCAUGUCCAUGUCUCUAGACUGCUUCUCCGAGCUUCAGGUCUUAUCUCUAAUGGCCUACUGACACAUCUACUUUGAAUCGCCAGCCAUAUCCCCCUCUGUUACAGUGUUCUGUUUCCUGUCAACUGUGCCGUGCUGCCUCUCAGGCCUGAAAACUUGAGUGAGCAGUUCUGUGCCUUCUCCACUUCCCUACCAGAAGCCUGUGCUGUGCCUCCUCCUGCUCAGCUCCCCACUGGCAGGUGAGUCCUGAGAGAUCACUCAGGAGUGUCCUCAACUCGUGUCCUCCGUCUCUAAUGCCAUGGAGUCAAGGAGGAGGGAACACAACAUGAUGGAGCCAAUUAAAAGAGAUUUUUAUCAUCUAAAGAAUGUACAUGACGGGUGCAGGGUCGUGGGUGAUACCUACCCACCUAUCAGAGGAACUUUGUUUUUUACCUUUGGAGAUAGCCAGAACGGCUGGUUUUGACAGCAGUGUCCACCAGGCCCUCUCGUCCUGCCAUGCAGUGGAAGAAGAACUCCUAUGGGGAAAGUGGGAGCCCAAUGUGUCAGUGAGUACCAUGCAGGGUCACCUUAUGCACUCUCUCCUAGUCAUGCAGGUUGUUCAUUUCCUAGAUCCUAGAAUCCUGCCUUUCAUAACCCCAAUAGCUCCUAAAGACUUGUGAUGCCCUGGGAUUGCUAUCUUCCUGCCUGAGGUGUAGGGACAUGUGGAUCAAACGCAACAGGAGCCAGAAGCCCUAAAUGCACUCCCUCAUGCAUCCUCAGGACACUGUAUGCCACUCUGCAGUGAGAAGCAAUGCUGGAGUUCACCGCUGUCCUGCAAAUCCCAGACCUGGAUCCUGUAGCUCAAGUACUCCCUAAACUUCUCUGUUUAGUUUUGAGAUAAAGUCUUCAUAUGCC